AUGUUUGAAGAAAGCGCCGCUGACAAGGAGACUCCAGAGGUGGAGAAUGGGGCUGCCAACAAGCGGAGGUGGGGCGAGCUAGAACCGCAAUCGACUCCAACAAGCAUAGACUUCAUCAGCAGCCUCCCCGAUGAUAUGUUGACACUCAUCAUCUCCCUCCUCCCAAUCAAAUGUGGGGCGCGAACAACCGUCCUUUCCCGGUGGUGGCACCCCCUAUGGAACUUACCUCUUCUCGACCUCAUCGACACCCACAAGCUCUGCCAUGGCUAUCGCAAAAGCUUGGAUGCGUUCUCCAAGAUCCUCUGCAGUCACCCUAGCCCAACCAAAGGCCUUAGAAUGGGCAAGUUCCAUUCCAACGGCAAGGACCAAGCCAAGAUUGAUGACUGGUUUGGAUCCCCCGCCCUAUAUCAGCUCGAGGAGCUCACUUUUGAUGAUGGGCAUAUGCGCUCGCUGCCAACGUCCGCGCUCCGCCUUGCACCCACGUUGCGCGUCGCCAAGUGCAGGAACUGCCACCCCCGCCCUUAA
rnacentral:rRNA from 1 species